rnacentral:rRNA from 1 species
AGCCUGAUGCAGCGACGCCGCGUGAGGGAUGACGGCCUUCGGGUUGUAAACCUCUUUCAAUAGGGACGAAGCGCAAGUGACGGUACCUAUAGAAGAAGGACCGGCCAACUACGUGCCAGCAGCCGCGGUAAUACGUAGGGUCCGAGCGUUGUCCGGAAUUACUGGGCGUAAAGAGCUCGUAGGUGGUUUGUCGCGUUGUUCGUGAAAACUCACAGCUUAACUGUGGGCGUGCGGGCGAUACGGGCAGACUAGAGUACUGCAGGGGAGACUGGAAUUCCUGGUGUAGCGGUGGAAUGCGCAGAUAUCAGGAGGAACACCGGUGGCGAAGGCGGGUCUCUGGGCAGUAACUGACGCUGAGGAGCGAAAGCGUGGGGAGCGAACAGGAUUAGAUACCCUGGUAGUCCACGCCGUAAACGGUGGGUACUAGGUGUGGGUUUCCUUCCUUGGGAUCCGUGCCGUAGCUAACGCAUUAAGUACCCCGCCUGGGGAGUACGGCCGCAAGGCUAAAACUCAAAGAAAUUGACGGGGGCCCGCACAAGCGGCGGAGCAUGUGGAUUAAUUCGAUGCAACGCGAAGAACCUUACCUGGGUUUGACAUGCACAGGACGCCCGUAGAGAUAUUGGUUCCCUUGUGG